AAUGCUCCGCACUGGGGAAGGAUGAGAAGCUUCGAUAAGGUUCGAGUCUCACGCAGUGAGACAACGCGCUUCAGCGCGGCCCGCAGGGUGAG
rnacentral:sRNA from 1 species